rnacentral:lncRNA from 1 species
UGAUUAUGAAUGGGAUGCUGAUUCUGUUUGACUUUUGUACAGGUACGCUUAGUUGCUCAGUUCUCUUAAGAACUUGCAUUGCUUUGCUUAUAAGCAAUUGGCAUUGAGGUAUGGAACUUUCUUCUUCAUGUAGUCUGGAGACCCGGCUGUUACCGGGCCGGGCACAUUGUCUGAAGUCCUCCUUAAGAGGCAAUGCUUGUGUAUGUUUAUAUUUGUCCCAAGCAGGAAAAGUCCUCAUUUGAGGCAAUUGGUGGAAGGUAGGGAUAAG